CCCGACAAAGCUAAACCCUCCGUGAGAAGGGGACGGAAAGCGGCGGGUGCUGAGCAAGUCGAAGCAUGGCCGAGCUGCCGAAG
rnacentral:ncRNA from 1 species